rnacentral:rRNA from 1 species
AUUGAACGCUGGCGGCAUGCCUUACACAUGCAAGUCGAACGGCAGCACGGGAGCUUGCUCCUGGUGGCGAAUGGCGAACGGGUGAGUAAUACAUCGGAACGUACCCUGAAGUGGGGGAUAACGUAGCGAAAGUUACGCUAAUACCGCAUAUUCUGUGAGCAGGAAAGAGGGGGAUCGCAAGACCUCUUGCUUUAGGAGCGGCCGAUGUCGGAUUAGCUAGUUGGUGAGGUAAAGGCUCACCAAGGCGACGAUCCGUAGCGGGUCUGAGAGGAUGAUCCGCCACACUGGGACUGAGACACGGCCCAGACUCCUACGGGAGGCAGCAGUGGGGAAUUUUGGACAAUGGGCGCAAGCCUGAUCCAGCCAUGCCGCGUGAGUGAAGAAGGCC